rnacentral:rRNA from 1 species
CCUACGGGUGGCAGCAGUGAGGAAUAUUGGUCAAUGGGCGCAAGCCUGAACCAGCCAAGUCGCGUGAGGGAUGACGGCCCUACGGGUUGUAAACCUCUUUUGUCGGGGAGCAAGGCUGGGCACGUGUGCCCUGACGGAGAGUACCCGGAGAAAAAGCAUCGGCUAACUCCGUGCCAGCAGCCGCGGUAAUACGGGGGAUGCGAGCGUUAUCCGGAUUUCUUGGGUUAAAGGGGUGCGCAGGCGGUAUGUCAAGCCGGCGGUAAAAAUUCCGGGCUAAACCCAGUCGUGCCGUUGGAACUGGCAGCCUUGAGUGGGCGAGAGGUAUGCGGAAUGCGUGGUGUAGCGGUGAAAUGCAUAGAUAUCACGCAGAACUCCGAUUGCGAAGGCAGCAUACCGGCGCCCAACUGACGCUGAGGCACGAAAGCGUGGGGAUCGAACAGGAUUAGAUACCCUGGUAGUC